UGGGGAAUAUUGCACAAUGGGCGCAAGCCUGAUGCAGCCAUGCCGCGUGUGUGAAGAAGGCCUUCGGGUUGUAAAGCACUUUCAGCGAGGAGGAAGGUGGUGAACUUAAUACGUUCAUCAAUUGACGUUACUCGCAGAAGAAGCACCGGCUAACUCCGUGCCAGCAGCCGCGGUAAUACGGAGGGUGCAAGCGUUAAUCGGAAUUACUGGGCGUAAAGCGCACGCAGGCGGUUUGUUAAGUCAGAUGUGAAAUCCCCGGGCUCAACCUGGGAACUGCAUUUGAAACUGGCAAGCUAGAGUCUCGUAGAGGGGGGUAGAAUUCCAGGUGUAGCGGUGAAAUGCGUAGAGAUCUGGAGGAAUACCGGUGGCGAAGGCGGCCCCCCUGGACGAAGACUGACGCUCAGGUGCGAAAAGGCGUGGGGGCAGCAAAACAGGAUUAGAUACCCUGGUAGUCCACGCUGUAAACGAUGUCGAUUUUGGAGGUUGUGCCCUUGAGGCGUGGCUUCCGGAGCUAACGCGUUAAAUCGACCGCCUGGGGAGUACGGCCGCAAGGUUAAAACUCAAAUGAAUUGACGGGGUC
rnacentral:rRNA from 1 species